rnacentral:lncRNA from 1 species
AUUUGUUUAAAUUCUUGAGAGCCAAUUGAAAAGAUUGCAUAUAAUUUGAAUAAAACAACUAGUUUUAUCACGAUAUAACCCACAUAAUAUGGACCACCUAACUAGAAACUGAGGGGAAAAGAAACUUUACAUAACGAAGACUCCUUAGAUCUUCUUUACCUCUAUAUGCACGUUUACUAUGCUAAACUUCCAAAAUCAAAGACAAAUUGAAAAGCAAAUGAAAACAAUAAUAGUUCUUUCAAUCCUUGGUUGCUCAUGUAUGUAAUCCAACAUAUGUAUUUUUAAAUAAGUGCGACCUUUAUACAUAGCCUUCAGUGCAAAUGAGGAAUAAAUGAACAGCUUUGGUAAUUUUAAUACAAUUUGUGGAAAAGUGCCUGAGAAGGGAUGAAGGGUAAAUGCACUUAAUAAUCCAAUAUUUUGGGGAGAGGGUGGGCUGGUCUCCUGAUCUCUGCUGCAGCUCUCUUUACAGAGCACAGCAUUCUGAAUACUGAAACACAACACUUACCGCAAUGAAAAAGAAAACCAUUAGUUCUCUUUGACCCUAUUCCAGGAUAAUUUGACUAGAAAUUAAUAACUGUCAACUGGAGAUAUUUUGCUGGCAGUAAGGCAAAAUGAUGCGUGAUUCCUCCUUCGGGUUACUCACACGGCACACCACAUUUACAUCCGAAGAUUAAGUUACUGGCAGGAGUGGGGAAAAGGAUUUUAAUUUGCUAAACGAUUAUUGCUUUUUCUGAGGUCAUGAAUUUGGUUUUCUAGAUGCUUUAGAUAUUUUCAAGUGCUGCCUCACUCAAUGGCUGAGCAACAAGCAAAGGUAAUGAUAAGGUUCCAGUGACUUGGUAAUAAAAGGUUCAGUGUUUUACAUUUGAACUGGGUUUUCACAAGGCAUUUUAAACAAAAUUCGCCCAUGACUACAAUAUAAAGCAAUAAAAACAUACACGUCAGUGGCCCAUAAUGUUUACCUAAUGCUGAAUGUACUGGUGUUUUCUUGAAGAAAAGAAAAAUAGACCCUGUGAGACAAAAAUUUCAGUUGUGAUUGAAAUCGUACAACUACAUUUUUCCUUCUCUCAGCUAAUUUAUCUUCAUCUUUGCCCUGGCCAAAGACACAAAUUAUUUUUGUUCUUUCGACAUACAUCUUCUCCUGUGCUGUUCAUUCCAAGUGCCAAAGGUCCUGAAUCUUUAAAAUCUAUGGAGGUAGAUUAGGGAGGAAGAGUUGCUGUGUCUUUUGACCUUCUAAUCCCACCAAACUCUCAUUUGUUGAGCAUCGUCCUUGUGUUUGGUGCUUCUAGGACAUAACCUCACUAUCUCUUAGAACUUUGAGGAGCUAUUUUAAUCCUUAUAUGAGAAAAAUGGGGCUCACAGGGGUCUUGUAACUGCCUAAGGUCACAGAGCUAGUUAUGGGAAGCACAAGGGUUAGAGCUCUGUUUUCUGAAUUCAUUGUGCACUUUCUGCCAUCCUUUUCGGCAACUGUUUGCCUAUCUUUAACAGCCCUUAACAAAUUGUUAUGACAGUUGUGUAGUCUGAGAUUCCUCAGCUAGAUUCUCAGGGCCUAUGAAGAUUUAGAUAAUUUGGGUCAUGAGGCAGCUUUGUUUUGCAUCUUUAGCAAGAGAUUAAAGGGACAGGUGGAAAUAUGCACAUGGCAUAUUUCAGUGCCCUGGAAUUCAUUUGGAUGGUGGCAAUGACACAGAAUUCCCUGGGGACCCCAGGAAUGAUUGGAGACUGACAAUCUGGAAACUAAACUGCAACCUUUGAACACGGAAAAGGAUUGCAAUUAUGCUUAUGUUUCACUUCUGAAUUUCUUCCACUCCAACUGCACUUUAGCCAGAAGGAGAAAUUUGGAUGGGCUACUGAUUUAGGUGGAAGAAAGUUUGGGCAUUGGCAUAAGACAUAGCUGGGUUUUAAUUUUAUCUUGUUAUUAAUAAACGCAAUUAGGCAAGUCAGUCAAUAGGAGUCUCUGCUCCUUUGUAAAAUGUGAAUAACAAGUAUUGUUUCUCUGAAUUAUCAUCGGGGCUAACUUAGGCUAUAUAAGGGACUAAUCUAGUAGUAGGGGUUCAACAAAUAUCAGCAGGCUUCAUACUUUCCAGAAAUUCGGUGAAUAAGGACAGUCAAGGAAAGACUGCUUGGGUAGACUGUGUACUUCUAUGAGACUCUAGGCUGGCAGCCUGGGACUCCUGCGUAGCUUCAGAGGCAUGCAAGCAUUGUAGAGUCUUAUAACUUACUAAGCAUUUGCAACCUGUUAUUUCAUUUGACUCUUGUAAAAUCCUUGUGGUAGGGUCAUGAUUGGCACCUUAUAUGUCCACUGUUUAAACCCCAUUUAAUGCAGAUGAGGGGACUGAUGCUCAGAAAGGUCACAUAACUUAAAGCCAUAGAAUCAUCAGGUAGAAAAGCCAGGAGAAAGGCCAGAUCUUCCAUCUUCAUUAGAGAUCUCUCCUGAGAGGUGGGAACACGGUGGUACUGUAAGGUUCACGGUAUUCAGAUCAACUUGAACCCACAAUUCCUACUUCUCUCAUCCACUUGUGAAAUACAUAUCUUAAAUAUAAAAAGCAUGCCUUUUAAUGAACAAUGCAGAAUACUUUUAGUGAUAUUUUUGUAAGCUUGACAAUUUACGCCAAUUGAUUUGUUUUGUCACCAAAACAAAUAUAAUUUCUAUAUUUUGAAUUACCAUUUACAUUUCCUCUAAGGUUAUAAUACCAGUUUAGUCAUCUAAUGAAUUAAAUUUGCAUGUAUUUCAUUUCAGGAAGGUAAAGAAUUUUCUAUUAUAAAUAAUUUAACUGAAAAAAUUUACAUAAAUUGAAUUUUGGAUUUUACUUUAAUGGCAUUAGCUAUGUAAAAUAAAUAGCAACCUAACUUGAUGGGACUUUUGCAUUUUUUUAUUGAAAAGGUUUUAAGGUAAUGUCAGUAUUUUUUAUUUUAGAGUAAGAUUGCAUUAAAGGAUGAACAAUUAUUGUUUUCUGAUUUCAUUACACAUACCAUAAAUAAUUUCUUUUGGAAUGUCUGUUGGUGUGUAUUGCUACCUUAAGGAAAGAAAAUAGGAAAAGGAUAAUGUUUGC